rnacentral:rRNA from 1 species
AUGGCAACUCGGGUCACCAACCGUGUCGUUCAAUCCGAAGAGGCUACAGGGAAAGAAGCCGCCGCCAGGAGGAAGAGAACGGAGCGAGCAGCCAUGGCCGCCAGGAACUUCUUCGUCCGAUCCCCCACAGAGGAGGAAUCCAGCGCCGCCAUCCGAGAGGCUGUCCUGUUGGGAGGGAAGAACGCCGCCAUUGCUGGCACCGUGGUUGCGGUUCCCACGUUCGUUGCCUGCCGUGUCCUUCCUUGGGCCAAGCACAAUCUGAACUACACCGCGCAAGCGCUCAUCAUAUCGACAGCGUGUGUCGCCGGCUUCUUCAUCACCGCGGAUAAAACCAUUCUACGGAACGCAAGGCAAAACACCAUCGGGAGGAUCGACGAGUAG